rnacentral:rRNA from 1 species
UACGGAGGGUGCAAGCGUUAUCCGGAUUCACUGGGUUUAAAGGGUGCGUAGGAGGGCAGGUAAGUCAGUGGUGAAAUCCCCGAGCUUAACUUGGGAACUGCCGUUGAUACUAUCUGUCUUGAAUAUUUGUGGAGGUUUGCGGAAUAUGUCAUGUAGCGGUGAAAUGCUUAGAUAUGACAUAGAACACCUAUUGCGAAGGCAGCAAACUACGCAUAUAUUGACGCUGAGGCACGAAAGCGUGGGGAUCAAACAGG